AUGGAUGAGGUCACAAGGGGUAUACAAGGAGAUAUCCCAUGGUGUAUGCUCUUUGCGGAUGAUGUGGUGCUAGUUGACGAUAGUCGGACGGGGGUAAAUAGGAAGUUAGAGUUAUGGAGACAAACCUUGGAAUCGAAAGGGUUUAGGCUUAGUAGAACUAAAACCGAGUACAUGGUGUGCGGUUUCAGUACUACUAGGUGUGAGGAGGAGGAGGUUAGCCUUGAUGGCCAGGUGGUACCUCGGAAGGACACCUUUCGGUAUUUGGGGUCAAUGUUGCAGGAGGAUGGGGGUAUUGAUGAAGAUGUGAACCAUCGAAUCAAAGCCGGAUGGAUGAAGUGGCGCCAAGCUUCUGGCAUUCUCUGUGACAAGAGAGUGCCACAAAAGCUAAAAGGCAAGUUCUACAGGACGGCGGUUUGA
rnacentral:rRNA from 1 species